rnacentral:rRNA from 1 species
AACGAACGCUGGCGGCAUGCCUAACACAUGCAAGUCGAACGAUGCUUUCGGGCAUAGUGGCGCACGGGUGCGUAACGCGUGGGAAUCUGCCCUUGGGUUCGGAAUAACAGUGAGAAAUUGCUGCUAAUACCGGAUGAUGUCUUCGGACCAAAGAUUUAUCGCCCAGGGAUGAGCCCGCGUAGGAUUAGCUAGUUGGUGGGGUAAUGGCCUACCAAGGCGACGAUCCUUAGCUGGUCUGAGAGGAUGAUCAGCCACACUGGGACUGAGACACGGCCCAGACCCCUCGGGAGGGAGGAGUGGGGAAUAAUUGAACAUUGGGCGCAAGCUUGACCAGGCAAGGCCGGGGAGGUAAGAAAGGCCUUGGGGUGGUAAGCCUCUUUUACCCGGAAUGUUAAGGACGGAACCGGAGGAAAAGCUCCGGCUAACUCCGUG